GUAGGUAACUUACUGGAAACCGGAGCUAAUACCGGAUAAUAUAUUGAACCGCAUGGUUCAAUAGUGAAAGACGGUUUUGCUGUCACUUAUAGAUGGAUCCGCGCCGCAUUAGCUAGUCGGUAAGGUAACGGCUUACCAAGGCAACGAUGCGUAGCCGACCUGAGAGGGUGAUCGGCCACACUGGAACUGAGACACGGUCCAG
rnacentral:rRNA from 1 species